rnacentral:rRNA from 1 species
UACGAAGGGGGCUAGCGUUGCUCGGAAUCACUGGGCGUAAAGCGCACGUAGGCGGCUUUUUAAGUCAGGGGUGAAAUCCUGGAGCUCAACUACCAGAACUGCCUUUGAUACUGAGAAGCUUGAGUCCGGGAGAGGUGAGUGGAACUGCGAGUGUAGAGGUGAAAUUCGUAGAUAUUCGCAAGAACACCAGUGGCGAAGGCGGCUCACUGGCCCGGUAUGACGCUGAGGUGCGAAAGCGUGGGGAGCAAACAGG